rnacentral:rRNA from 1 species
UUCCGGUUGAUCCCGCCGGAGGUCACUGCUAUCGGGGUUCGAUUAAGCCAUGCGAGUCGAGAGGGUUCAGACCCUCGGCGGACUGCUCAGUAACACGUGGAUAAUCUGCCCUAUGGUGGAGGAUAACCCCGGGAAACUGGGGAUAAUACUCCAUAAGUCAGGAGUACUGGAAUGUCUCCUAACUGAAAGUUGCGGCGCCAUAGGAUGAAUCUGCGGCCGAUUAGGUAGUUGUUGGGGUAACGGCCCAACAAGCCCGUAAUCGGUACGGGUUGUGGGAGCAAGAGCCCGGAGAUGGAAUCUGAGACACGAUUCCAGGCCCUACGGGGCGCAGCAGGCGCGAAAACUUUACAAUGCAGGAAACUGUGAUAAGGGAACCCCGAGUGCCCGUACACGCGGGCUGUCCCGGUGUUUAAAACACAUCGGAAGAAAGGGCCGGGCAGGACCGGUGCCAGCCGCCGCGGUAAUACCGGCGGCUCGAGUGGUGACCACUUUUAUUGGGCUUAAAGCGUUCGUAGCUUGAUUUUUAAGUCUCUUGGGAAAUCUCACGGCUUAACUGUGAGGCGUCUAAGAGAUACUGGGAAUCUAGGGACCGGGAGAGGUAAGAGGUACUUCAGGGGUAGAAGUGAAAUUCUGUAAUCCUUGAGGGACCACCGAUGGCGAAGGCAUCUUACCAGAACGGCUUCGACAGUGAGGAACGAAAGCUGGGGGAGCGAACGGGAUUAGAUACCCCGGUAGUCCCAGCCGUAAACUAUGCGCGUUAGGUGUGCCUGUAACUACGAGUUACCGGGGUGCCGAAGUGAAAACGUGAAACGUGCCGCCUGGGAAGUACGGUCGCAAGGCUGAAACUUAAAGGAAUUGGCGGGGGAGCACCACAACGGGUGGAGCCUGCGGUUUAAUUGGAUUCAACGCCGGG